CCUCCCCAAGCCCAAAUAUGAAAAAUUAUGCUAUUAAAAAAAAUUGCACCGCAUCAACUCGUCAUUUAACGGAUUACAGUUUGAAUCGGACAGCAGCCAAUCAAAUUGUGCCAGCAGAGAAAAAGUUGCGCAUGGCAGUGCAGAGGAACAUUGGUGGGUGAAUUCAGAUGGAGCCCUUGUAAAGAUGAUACCCCAAAUUAUUAUUUUCGGAUAUAAAGACAAUACUGUAGUCACCAAAAAAUGGAUUGCAACUUGCAAAACAUGCGGGAAGAAAAUUAUAGACGGAAGCGCAACAACUUCCAACUUUGUUUGACAUUUGAAGCUGCACAAAGAACGGUCCCCAAAGCACACACAUCCCUGGGUCGCUCGUCUUUUCAGUUCGACGCAGCUAGCGACUGGAACGAGCUGCAACAAGCGCUUAAACUGGACAGUUUUAUCUCCAUCUCUUCAUUCAAAGACUUAACCAUGGACGACACUCUUACUGACAGUUGUGGCUGUUUUGCGUGAUGUAUUGUUCUCUCUACCUUCUUGCCCUUUGUGCUGUUGUCUGUGCCCAAUAAUGUUUGUACCCUGUUUUGUGCUGCUACCAUGUUGUGCUGCUGCCAUGUUGUAUUGCUACCAUGCUGUGUUGUCAUGUGUUACUGCCAUGCUAUGUUGUUGUCUUAGGUAUCUCUUUAUCUAGUGUUGUGUUGUCUCUCUUGUUGUGAUGUGUGUUUUAUCCUAUAUUUUUAAUCUCAGCCCCCGCAGGAGGCCUUUUGCAUUUUGGUAGGCUGUCAUUGUAAAUAAGAAUUUGGUCUUAACUGACUUGCCUAGUUAAGUAAAGGUUCAAUUAAAAAAAUACAUAAUGAAAGAUGUAAAAACCUACUGGGCCAUUAAUUAACUUGCAAAGUGUUUCAAAGUGUAUUGCUUUGCUUGAUCCAUUAUGCAGUGGCGUGCACUCCUCAAAAUGAAUUGGGCACUGCCUCUCACAAUCAGUGUCCCUAGCCAUCCGAUUCCAAAGUUUUUUACUCAGAGUGUGUCUUCAUCCAUUAGACAAGUUCAUUAAAAUGAGCGUUUGAUUGAUGGAUGGAUAGAUAGAUACGUAUGCUAUGUGAUCAAUCAGAUCGUUGCAGAAUAUUUACUGUGCAGGAAGCAGUUUUUUGUUCACCUGUCAGUAUUCAAGUUUGGUGAAUUUAGUCUGUGCACAAUUACAUUUUGUCUCUGAAGGCUACAUCUUGGGAUGUUAACCCCAUUCACCCCGUAUGAAUGAAUCAUUUUAUUGUUAAAUUAGAAAACCUUAUAAAGUAACAAAGGCCAAUGGCAUGUGUUUGCACAACACUUGACUACAACAACACUUGACUUACAACCAGCCCCUCUUCACAUGAGGUUGGAUAUGUGGCAAUGAUUUUACCUAUCAAAUGAGAUCCCCUGACAUUGUCAGCUCUUUUUCCAAAAUGGGUCCCCAGCCUUCUCCUCAUGAGUUGCACAUACCUGGCUGCAUCUCCAGCAUAAAAUAUAUGACCG
ensembl:lncRNA